rnacentral:rRNA from 1 species
AUGCAGCCCAGCUUGCUGGGUGGAUUAGUGGCGAACGGGUGAGUAACACGUGAGUAACCUGCCCCCGACUCUGGGAUAAGCCCGGGAAACUGGGUCUAAUACCGGAUAUUACCUUUGACCGCAUGGUUGUUGGUGGAAAGAUUUAUCGGUGGGGGAUGGACUCGCGGCCUAUCAGCUUGUUGGUGAGGUAAUGGCUCACCAAGGCGACGACGGGUAGCCGGCCUGAGAGGGUGACCGGCCACACUGGGACUGAGACACGGCCCAGACUCCUACGGGAGGCAGCAGUGGGGAAUAUUGCACAAUGGGCGAAAGCCUGAUGCAGCGACGCCGCGUGAGGGAUGACGGCCUUCGGGUUGUAAACCUCUUUCAGUAGGGAAGAAGCGAAAGUGACGGUACCUGCAGAAGAAGCGCCGGCUAACUACGUGCCAGCAGCCGCGGUAAUACGUAGGGCGCAAGCGUUAUCCGGAUUUAUUGGGCGUAAAGAGCUCGUAGGCGGUUUGUCGCGUCUGCCGUGAAAGUCCGAGGCUCAACCUCGGAUCUGCGGUGGGUACGGGCAGACUAGAGUGAUGUAGGGGAGACUGGAAUUCCUGGUGUAGCGGUGAAAUGCGCAGAUAUCAGGAGGAACACCGAUGGCGAAGGCAGGUCUCUGGGCAUUUACUGACGCUGAGGAGCGAAAGCAUGGGGAGCGAACAGGAUUAGAUACCCUGGUAGUCCAUGCCGUAAACGUUGGGCACUAGGUGUGGGGGACAUUCCACGUUUUCCGCGCCGUAGCUAACGCAUUAAGUGCCCCGCCUGGGGAGUACGGCCGCAAGGCUAAAACUCAAAGGAAUUGACGGGGGCCCGCACAAGCGGCGGAGCAUGCGGAUUAAUUCGAUGCAACGCGAAGAACCUUACCAAGGCUUGACAUGUGCCAGACCGCCUCAGAGAUGGGGUUUCCCUUCGGGGCUGGUUCACAGGUGGUGCAUGGUUGUCGUCAGCUCGUGUCGUGAGAUGUUGGGUUAAGUCCCGCAACGAGCGCAACCCUCGUUCCAUGUUGCCAGCACGUAAAGGUGGGGACUCAUGGGAGACUGCCGGGGUCAACUCGGAGGAAGGUGGGGAUGACGUCAAAUCAUCAUGCCCCUUAUGUCUUGGGCUUCACGCAUGCUACAAUGGCCGGUACAAUGGGUUGCGAUACUGUGAGGUGGAGCUAAUCCCUAAAAGCCGGUCUCAGUUCGGAUUGGGGUCUGCAACUCGACCCCAUGAAGUCGGAGUCGCUAGUAAUCGCAGAUCAGCAACGCUGCGGUGAAUACGUUCCCGGGCCUUGUACACACCGCCCGUCAAGUCACGAAAGUUGGUAACACCCGAAGCCGAUGGCCUAACUCACCUUGUGUGGG